AUGGCUCAUGCCUUGGGCAUCAUCCUCCUCCUCCUGCUCUCCUUGUUCGCCAGCUCUGCCCUCUCCGACGCGGUGCUCGGACGGAAGGCCGGCGUCAUUCUCGAGGAGCCCAAGCUGGUGGCAGCCCCAGGGAAGUACGCUGUGAUCUUCGACGCCGGUAGCACGGGCACACGUGUCCAUGUCUUCCAGUUUGACAAGAAGAUGGACCUCGUCGAGAUCGGUGACGACAUCGAGGUCUAUGCCAAGUGGGAACCAGGACUGAGUUCAUAUGCCGGACGGCCACAAGAAGCGGCCAAGUCUAUCAUACCUCUGCUUGACAAGGCCAAGAGCACUGUGCCUCGGUGGCUCAUGGGAAAAACACCCGUUAAACUAGGGGCCACGGCCGGACUCAGGCUUAUCGGAGAUGACAAGGCAGAGCAAAUUCUUGAAGCGGUCAGGGAUGUUAUCCACAGCAAGAGCAAAUUUCAAUACAAUCCUAGUUGGAUCAAUGUUAUCGAGGGAUCUCAGGAAGGAUCUUACAUAUGGGUUGCUCUAAAUUAUUUGUUGGGUAAACUGGGAGGAGACUACGUCAAGACAGUAGGUGUGAUAGACCUUGGAGGUGGGUCCGUGCAGAUGACAUAUGCCAUCUCUUCAGCUGCUGCUGCUGCCGCUCCCGUAGUGUCUGACGGGAAGGAACCGUACGUCACCAAAGAGUAUCUCAAAGGAAGAGACUACAAUGUCUAUGCUUACAGCUACUUGCACUACGGCGCAUUGGCUUCUCGAGUAGAGAUCUUCAAGGCAAGUAAUGGGCCAUUCAACUAUUGCAUGCUGCGCGGAUUCAACGGUAAAUACACUUACAAUGGAGAGCAAUACGACGCUAUAUCUCCACCACAAGGAGCAGCAUAUGACAAGUGCAGAGAGGACAUCACCAAAGCACUGAAGUUGAAUGCACCCUGUGAAACAAAGAACUGCACCUUCAACGGCGUGUGGAGUGGCGGCGGUGGAGCUGGCCUGUCCGACCUCUACAUCACCACCAGCUUCUACUACACGGCAUCACAGGUUGGCUUGAUCGACAGCGAGGCUAGCAGUGCAAAGACCACCCCUGCGGCUUGGAGGGCUGCGGCAGAGAAGAUUUGCCCGCUGAGCUUCAAGGAAGCGAAGGAUGCGCACCCAAGGGUCCGAGCCAUUGACACGCCCUACAUUUGCAUGGAUCUCAUCUACCAGUACUCCUUGCUCGUGGAUGGAUUCGGUUUGGAGCCGACAAAAGAGAUCACAGUGGCAGAGAAGGUGAAGUACGGGGAAUACUUCAUCGAAGCCGCAUGGCCUCUUGGGGAAGCUAUAGAGGUCGUGUCGUCCACAAAUCGGCUCCGUGAUGCAUGA
rnacentral:rRNA from 1 species